rnacentral:rRNA from 1 species
UACGUAGGUCCCGAGCGUUGUCCGGAUUUAUUGGGCGUAAAGCGAGCGCAGGUGGUUUAUUAAGUCUGGCGUAAAAGGCAGUGGCUCAGCCAUUGUAUGCAUUGGAAACUGGUAGACUUGAGUGCAGGAGAGGAGAGUGGAAUUCCAUGUGUAGCGGUGAAAUGCGUAGAUAUAUGGAGGAACACCGGUGGCGAAAGCGGCUCUCUGGCCUGUAACUGACACUGAGGCUCGAAAGCGUGGGGAGCAAACAGG